UUAGAGAUUAAAAUUUAGAUUAACGCGAUUAAAAGACAUAACGCGCUAAAUAUGACUGUAAUUAAUUAUUCACAAUUAACGCGAUAAAUUGACACCUCUAACAAUACGCUCUUUCUGUUUAUACGUUUCCUUGCCUGUAGAUUCUCAGUAAAUUAGCUCAUGGUUUUCCGCAAAACUUGAAACAAGGCAGCUAGACUCUUCAUAACUGUUGAAAACAUUUCACCUUUAAUGCAAAAGGCAAAUUGCAAUUGCAAGUGUGGAGUCACCCUAUUUUUGUCUUUGGUGGGUUGUAUCCCGUCGAGGUCACUGCUUGAUGGUUGUGCACUUUUUGUUAAUAUUUAGUUUUCCUGCUGCUUUUGACUAGCAAUCUCUCUUCACUUUGUCGGUGCGUUUUUGUAUUAAAUACUUUUGUACGGACUUUUUUUUUAGUCUA